AGUCUGGGUAGCAGCAGAGUCAGCGGGAUGGUGACUGAAUAUGAGGUGUUAUUCGUGGAGACAGUGAUGGAUACAGUGAGCAAGAAGAGAAAAACAACCCUUUUCUGGUCGGUAGGGGAGCUUGCACAUGUGUAACAGGGGGCAGAUGUGCGCUGUGCGGCCCAAGUAGCAGACUGUGCCAGUAAUUCACUCGCCCUGCAUUGCCCGCUCUGUGAAGAUGCAGCUGGGCCCUUUAAAGAGUUCCCCUGUGCCAGCAGGAGAGACAUCAACCUCCUGCCAGUAGAGGGCACUGCAGAGACACUGAAGGAGGAGUUUUCUUUCCCAGAACCAGUGUGGAGGGUUCCUGCAUUUAGACAACUUCUCUAGCGGCCAGAUCCUGCUGCCCCUGUGGCUUCCCUUGAACCCAGUCCUGUCCUGUCACAGCUUCUCCAGUGCCGGGCUCCUGCAGCAAGGGUGCUUCUCCAGCACCUGGCUCUAGCUGUGAGUGACGGGCAACAGCAGCCAGCAGCUUCACCCCGUCCUCCCCUUGGGCAGCCCAGGAGCACCGUGCCCUCCAGCAAGACCUUCCUCAUCAACAACUCUCCUUGGGACCCAAAAAGAGGGAUUUCCAGUGAGUUCCAGGGGGCAGUUUUCCAGCAAGUUCUGGCACCACAGUGACGUCACCAUCCAUGGAGCCAUGGCCAUGGCCUCCCCACCAAGGUCAGGAUCUCAGCCCCGGGGGGGCCUCUUCCUCGGGACUCCACGGCAACCCUAGGUGUCGUGGCCGUUCUCACAGAGGCUAUUCCGUCUUCUUUGCAGUUCGUUUUUCUUCUUACCCGCCAGUCUCUCGAUACUCCAGUCCCCUGGUAUCAUGAAUAAGCCUUUAAACUUCUCCUCUUCAAAUCACGAUGUGUUUCUGUCUCCUGAAUCGACCCUGACCGAGAGUCACCCACGGCCUCAAAGGGCCUUUUUCCAUUCUCCCCGUCCUUGAGGUCAAUUCCGCCUCCUUGCUGGCGAAUCAUUCCUGCUUCAAGCACUCACUCAGCAAUCGCUUACCGAGUGCCGUGGCCGAGGGUGAACCGGAGGCCCCUGCUUCGGCAAGUUCACGGGCAAGGGGAUCCUCGGGCUCUCUCUCCCCACUCGGCUCCGUGCUCUUGGGCCUCGCUGGUCCUCGGGCUCCUCCGCUCAGCCUCCUGGGCUGGCCCAGGGUCUUGCUCCCAAAACUGCGCAGUGGGCACCCCUCUCGAGUCACACACACCCUGCUUCAGCUGCUCUCUAAAUCCUCCUCCGCCGAGAUGCCUGGGCUUAAGUGACUGCAGACUUCCGACGGCAAGGCCCCCACCUUUAUCCUCCAGGCAUCCCCACCUGGAUGACAUGCAGUUACCUGAGGUCCUCCCCUUUAGAACCAGAUGCUUCAUGCUGCCUCUGGCUCCUCUAUGGGGAAGUGGCAGCCCCUUCCCUCAGCUGCCAAAGCCCCAAACCCCAGAGAGGACCGAAGUCCCACCUCCGCCGUCAGUCCCCCACACGGCACCAGGCGCCCGAUCCCGGGGACCACAGCUCUGGACCUUGGCAGUUAUCCUGUAACGCGUCUCAACACAUCUGGUGUCUCUACCUCCCACCCCAGCCUCUCAGCAAAGAUUUUCCACACAUGGCUUCCUCAAUCAAAACCCAGGAUGCCUGAUGAAAAUGUUCUGAAACUGAUUGUGGUAAUAGUUGCACAACUCCAUGAAUGUACUAAAAACCAUCCAAUUGCACACUUUAAAUGGGUGAACUGUAUGGUAUGUGAAUUAUAUCUCAAUACGGCUGUUAUUUUUAAAAACCCUCUGAUGCCGUCUGGUGCUGCACUGAGGGCUGCACGGCGCGGCCUCAGCCUAUUGCUCUGACCUGCCCCCCACCUCUCCCAGCGACGGCGCCACUCCAGGGCCAGUCCCGGGCGCCCAGCUCCCAGCCCCUGUUUGCGCACGUGUCCACACCCACAUCGUUGGCUCUUCCGAGAGGGGGGCUCCUCCCAGAGGGCCCCGCCCCCCCUCCCCCAUCCCUCAGCAUCCCCUCCCAGGGAUCUUCCAUCAGUUUCUGCUGUGUGCGGUCAUUUAGCUUGUCACGUGCAUACGUCUGUUCUCCUAAACAGGUGAGGUCGGAGCUCAUGCCCUGCGCUCCGCUCUGCUUCCACUCGUCCCUCCCGGGCCCCCCUGUCCCAGGCGACCCCUGAGGCAGAGAAGACUGUGUGAAGCCAGCCCCAGCAGCCGCACCAUCCCCGGCACAGGGUGAGGCCCCCAGCCCCCGUUCUAGGGGUCGCUCGGCAGGGCUCCCCAAGGCACCACACUAACAGGAAGGCCCCUGAUCCGCCUGCCCCAGGCCAGGACGUAUGCCCACUAUGGGGUCUGUGGCCUCCACCAGCCCCCAGAUGCCCCGGGUGCAGGGAGUCGGGAGGGACCUAGGUCAGGGUGCCCGUGAGCCACGGGGGUGCGGGGUGGGUUGACCAGCCAGCUGACCCCCUCCCGGGCCCCAACCAGGAGGUCCCCCAAAGUGUCUCGAGGGUCUGGGAGCUGCUGCUAGGGCACAGUGCCCCCUCACGGACGCGGUCAGAACUGGUCCCUGGUUUGCUCUCUCCUCACGCUCUACCCCAGCCCAAACCAAGCCAUUCGUAGGGGGGGGGAUGCAGGGGGUCGCGCGGGGAGGAAGAAGAGCCCAGGUUUCUGGGCAGCACAUCCCAGAACCUCCAGCCCUGGCCCAGCAGCCGCCCCUGCAGCCCUAGGUGGGUUCCGCCACCUCGAACCCUGGCUCUGCCAGGCAGAGGCGGGCUUCCCUGCACCACUCCGUACAGUGGGGUGAGGGAGGGGCGGGCCCCUCACCUGGGUCUAUCUAAGGAUACGAGAGCAUCUGAGUACUUGGCACAGAGCCUGGCACAUGGUAGGCACUCAAUAAAUAUUAUUAUUAUUUUUUUAAAGUAUUCUGUGAUUAAUCAGGGCAAAAGGCCUGCAAAGUGUCCUUAGGAAACCUAGAGUGUCGCCUCAGACCACACCCAGGAAUGGCUCUCACUGGCGCCUCGGACCGGCUGCUGCGGCCUGACCCAGAGGCCUCUCUCCCAGCUGAUGCCGCGGGGCUCCCCCGGUCCCCCAGCCCAAGAGCCUCUGCAACCAGAAUAAACAGCCUCAUCACCAGCCCCCUUAACUGGCCACCGCGGCCUCUGGGGGUCACAAGCACACACAGAGACAGGGACACACACAGACGCACUCACAUAGAUAGACCCAGGCACAUGUGGAAAGACAUGCCUGUAUGCACGCGUACACACACACACAGACAGACACACACACACUCACUCACUCCAGGCUCCCGGAACCUGGAGCAGGAGGAUCCCCGGCGAGGCCUCCCUGCACAUGCCUUGCACAUUUCACCUAAAGUGUGGGCCAAAGAGGCAUUUGGAAACCAGCUUGGGAACCUCAUAACCAUUCAUAACAUUGUUCUGAGAGAAAAUACAAAACAUUGCCCUAUAAACAAACAUUUGCAGUAGAAUUCCUCCAAGAGCUAGGGAUUGCCUGUGCUAGAAAACGAACAGAGCAAGAAGAGAGAAACCACAUAAACUUAGUUCGCCGCUGCAAAAUUAAUACCAAUUACAAAAACAUUUAUGUGAACUGCUUACCAUUUACACUUAAUUACCAUGCAGCACAAUUACGCAUACCAUUACGGGCCUGCCAGAUGAAUGAUGCUAUACGUUUCAGGGGAUUACACCACCACCUCCGUCCACACACGCCCGGCUUCCAGAGCGCUGACCCUGGGACAGGGGCACACGCGCAGGUCUGUACCAACCAAAGAAACGCCGGUUUCCACGCUCAAGUUGACAGUGGUGCCCCAGCCCCCCAGCCUGAGACAGCCUGACCCUGGCCCAUACCUUCCUGCCAACGUCCCCACCACGGGAGCCCCUGCUGAGACGCCACCUUCCCACCAGAGCCUUCUCAGGAAGGCAGAGAAGCUGCAAAGCUCUCCCGGUGGGUGCGGCCGCUUGUCACAGGGGCCAUGAAACAGCCCAAUGGCCAUCACAGGGGCCUGCGCACAGAGACAGCUGGCCUCGCUGUCCAGACCAAGGGCACCUCGAGACUCCACUAGAGCACUGCACCCCUUUCCCUGGCGCGGAGAGCCAGCUACCAGGCAAGGUCCCGGCCCUGCCCUGCCCAGGCCCUGGUCAGCCUCUCCCUCCCUCGUCCUCUGCUCUCCACCAACCCCCACCUCCUCUUCAUUAAAAAGAGAAAAGGAACACACCCUCUCCCCUCAUUCCCAUUGAGCUCAGCAGGUGCUCUUCAAAUACACUGGGGUGACUCAGGCUUGGGGCACAGAGAGUCCAUGGAACAUGAUAAACGGAGCUUCCCAGGAUCAAGGAAUUCAGAAGGGACAGGGGUCAGGCAGGACGGGCCUCCUGGGAGUCAAAGAGCAAGAGGAGGCUGAGCAAGGGGCAAGGCGGGCGGGCCCGGGCCUCCUCAGUGCCAGACAGGGACCAGGCACGCCUGAAUUUUAAUCCUCAAACACCUGCAAGGCCACCUGCAGAGGGAUCCUUUUGGAAGACAGUGACAUAAGAUAUCCAAGUUUAAAGCAGCGUUUGAAACAAACAAACCACAACGCAAGCCUGUGAGGUUGUCUCCACUUUGCAGAUGGCAAAAUUGAGGCUGCGAGGGUGCUCUGCAGAGGACCCAGGAGAUGGCAGAGCCAAGGUGAAACCACUGCUGCCCAGUGCCGAGUGUGGUGUCCCUGGCACGGUGCCAUGCUACCUCUUGCCUCUGCCCAGGGUUCAGUGAUGCCGACCUGGCUCAUGUCAUUUUUCUAGAAAUUCUUUGGAAACAGCCCUUCCUGUGAUACCCAAGAGGCUCAUGUUUCUAUUUUAGAGAAACACUUUUUGUUUCUUUUCUGUUUGCUUUCCAAGACUGCUCUCCCCUCUCAUCCCCUCCUACCUUGGCAGACCUGCCUCUGAAGGUCAAGUCUGCAGCUCAUGCACCAGUCAGCGGGUGAGAAGACCUACCCAGGUCCUGCAGGGGGAGUUAAAAGCCAGGGUCUAAGCCUUGCAGCGCUUCUCUGGGGUAAGCUCCUGAGAAGCAGAAGCCCCUGCUCAGGCCCUCAAACAUCAGUAUCCCCAGUGCAUGAGGUACAAACGCCUGGUCAAAUCACUUCCCUCCUUAAAAAUCUACAGGGAUCAGGAGUUCCCGUCAUGGCUCAGUGGUAAUGAACCCAGCUAGUAACCAUGAGGACACAGGUUCAAUCCCUGGCCUCGCUCAGUGGGUUAAGGAUUCGGCAUUGCCGUAAGUUGACAAUGCGGCUCGGAUCCUGUGCUGCAGUGGCUGUGGCAUAGACCGGCAGCUGCAACUCCAAUUUGACCCCUAGCCUCAGAACUUCCAUAUGCCGUGAGUGCAGCCCUAAAAAGACCAAGGG
rnacentral:lncRNA from 1 species